UACGGAGGAUGCGAGCGUUAUCCGGAUUUAUUGGGUGUAAAGGGAGCGUAGACGGCACUGCAAGUCCGGAGUGAAAGCCCAAGGCUUAACCAUGGGACUGCUCUGGAAACUGUGGAGCUUGAGUGCGGGAGAGGCAGACGGAAUUCCUAGUGUAGCGGUGAAAUGCGUAGAUAUUAGGAGGAACACCAGUGGCGAAGGCGGUCUGCUGGACAGCAACUGACGGUGAGGCGCGAAAGCGUGGGGAGCAAACAGG
rnacentral:rRNA from 1 species